UAUGAAUUGAGUUUUCUUCUUUACCAGGCAUGGUCAUGAGUAUUUGACAUGAGGAAACUAAGACCCAGCUAAAGUAGCUUUUCCAGAGUUUAUUCCUUGCUCAUGUUAAGUCCCAUGGGAUGUUUCUGGUCAGCGGGCAGCUUCCUUGGUGGCUUGCUUUUUCUCAGUCUGUAGAGCCCUCUUUAUUGAAGGGACACAUGGGAGGGGGAAAGGAAAUGUUUGCUCAUGGGCAAUUUCUCUGGGUCAGGCUUACAAGUGGUGUGUAUCCUUUCUGCCCACAUUCUUUGAACACAACUGUCCUGUGGUUACCUCACUGAAAGGGACGUGUGGAAAUAUGUGCAGCUAUUUUCUGGGAGGAAGGGAAAGCCAGUUUUUUGAACACUUAGCCGGUUUGCCAUAUCCAUGUGGUUUAUAACCCUCGUUGUGAGGAAAUAAAGUUGUCAAAAUGGCAAAUGAACUCAGAAGUAUCUCCGUGCACUGGCUGUCUUAACAUCUUUAAUUCCAUACCUCCAAUAUGAGUGUUAAAAUUUCCUCUAGCUUUUUAUUCCUGUGUUGCUUAGUAGAUAGGAAAGGACAUCAUUUAUGAUUUAUGGCAAGAGGAGUUCUAACUUUUAUGCACUAUGCCACAUUCUCCUAUUCUCUAUUAGAGGAAUUGAGAGAAUGUUGUAUCUAAAUUCUUCUCUAUAAGAAUAGCAAGUGAAAGCCUUUUUUUCCUUGACUUUGAAACCUUUUCUAGUUAUAGGACAGAAAGGGAAAAGAAUAAGGUUACAUUUUCUUCUUUUAUGGGAGAAACUGGAAAGUGGUUGGAGAUGUGAGAAUACAUUUUAAAAGCCUGGAGGCUUUCUGAGUCUUCAUCUUCCUCCCUGUCUCUGUAAGGUCAAAUGCUGUGAAUCUCCUACUUGUUAUCCCUCCUCUCAUGUUUCUUUUUCCUCCCAUCUUCUAGAAGAGACAGAGUUGGGAGAGAAUUGUGAGUUCAGCUUUUGAUUCAUACAGGUAGGUUAGUUUUAGAAGAUGUCUGGGAGAAACUCAGGAGAGAGAUUUGGGGUUAACCCAGGUAGAAAAUUUGAAAUCAUGAGAUUGCCAGAAAGAGCAUAAAAAAAGGUAUCCAUAGACAUGAACCAGCUUGAGGAGUGCUAUGGAUCUGAACAUGUCCCCUAAAAUUCAUACUUACUCACCAAUAUGAUGAUAUUAAGAGGUAGGGCCUUUAGGAGAUAAGGUCUUGCCUUCAUGAGUGGGAUUACUGACCUUUUAAAAGAGGUGUGAGGGAACUCUUCAUCCCUUUUGCUCAAAUGAUGUGAGGACACGAUAUUUGUCCCCUGCUGGAGGAUGCAGCAACAAAGCACCAUCAUAGCAACACCACAUCCCGGCCAGAUGCCGACCCCAGCUCCUUAAUCUUGGACUUCUCAGCCUCCAGAACUGUGAAAUAAAUUUCUAAUUAUAAAUGACCUAGUCUAAAGUUAUUUUGUUAAAGCAGCCAGAAAUGUUUAAGGCAAGGGGAAAGAACUUUCUUUUCUUGUCUUCCUACCUUCAAACCCAAAACACUUGACUAGCAGUCUUAUUUCAGCACUUUCUGUUUCCUCUCACCUUUUAUUAUCACAUGCACCUUAUUUUGGGCCACACAUUACUUGAAAGUAGAGACUGUAUCUGAGUUAUCUUUGCAUUAAACCAUUCUCACAAAAUGCCCAAGAGUCAAGGAAUACUUUGCUGUAUCUAUUGAUGAAGAGUGAAAAUGUUGUUCCCUUUGAGGCACAUAAAUGUGCUAAGCACUGCACUCCAUGCAAAUAUUUAAUCUGUUCUGAAGUUCCUUUUUUACUCAACAAAACGUUUGUUUCUCAUUUAUUCAUUAGCUGACAAGUGUUAAGUACCCUGGGGGAGCCAAAAGGGGCAACGUAAAGCAAGCAGGGUCAAUGACGGUCCCUACAUCAAAGGAAGGCUCCUUUGUUUCCCCUGGAAGUAAUAGCCUUCUCCUGGAAGCAGACAAAACCCACCAGUACCCCAGAUUCU
rnacentral:lncRNA from 1 species